rnacentral:rRNA from 1 species
CCUACGGGAGGCAGCAGUGGGGAAUAUUGCACAAUGGGGGAAACCCUGAUGCAGCGACGCCGCGUGAGUGAAGAAGUAUUUCGGUACGUAAAGCUCUAUCAGCAGGGAAGAAAAUGACGGUACCUGACUAAGAAGCCCCGGCUAACUACGUGCAAGCAGCCGCGGUAAUACGUAGGGGGCAAGCGUUAUCCGGAUUUACUGGGUGUAAAGGGAGCGUAGACGGCAGCGCAAGUCUGGAGUGAAAUCCCAUGGCUUAACCAUGGAACUGCUUUGGAAACUGUGCAGCUAGAGUGCAGGAGAGGUAAGCGGAAUUCCUAGUGUAGCGGUGAAAUGCGUAGAUAUUAGGAGGAACACCAGUGGCGAAGGCGGCUUACUGGACUGUAACUGACGUUGAGGCUCGAAAGCGUGGGGAGCAAACAGGAUUAGAUACCCCUGUAGUC